GAUGAACGCUGGCGGCGUGCUUAACACAUGCAAGUCGAACGAAGCACUUUAUUUGAUUUCCUUCGGUCCUGAUUAUAUUGUGACUGAGUGGCGGACGGGUGCGUAACGCGUGGGUAACCUGCCUUGUACAGGGGGAUAACAGUUGGAGACGGCUGCUAAUACCGCAUAAGCGCACGGCAUCGCAUGAUGCAGUGUGAAAAACUCCGGUGGUAUCAGAUGGACCCGCGUUGGAUUAGCUAGUGGGUGAGGUAACGGCCAACCAAGGCGACGAUCCAUGGCCGACCGGGGAGGGUGACCGGCUACAUUGGAACUGAGACACGGCCCAAACUCGUACGGGAGGCAGCAGUGGGGAAUAUUGCACAAGGGGCGAAAGCCUGAUGCAGCGACGCCGCGUGAGAGAAGAAGUAUGUCGGUAUGUAAAGCUCUAUCAGCAGGGGAGAUAAUGACGGUACCUGACUAAGAAGCACCGGCUAAAUACGUG
rnacentral:rRNA from 1 species